rnacentral:lncRNA from 10 species
ACCACAAAGUCAAUAUUCACCAAUAUGGCGAGGAAGGUUUUAGCACUGGUAGAAGCAUAAGCAGCCACAUCCAGUAAGGGGGUAGGGGCCAUGCCCCACACUCUGGCCUGACCUGUUUGGCAGAGGUUGCAGUGAGCUGAGAUCAUGCCCCUGCACUCCAGCCUGGGCAAUAGAGUAAGGCUCUGUCUCAAAAAAAUUAAUUAAUUAAUUAAUUAAA